rnacentral:rRNA from 1 species
UGGGGGAUAUUGCACAAUGGGGGAAACCCUGAUGCAGCGACGCCGCGUGAGGGAAGACGGCCUUCGGGUUGUAAACCUCUGUCGCAGGGGACGAAGGAAGUGACGGUACCCUGUGAGGAAGCCACGGCUAACUACGUGCC